UACGUAGGGUGCGAGCGUUAAUCGGAAUUACUGGGCGUAAAGGGUGCGCAGGUGGCGGCGCGCGUGGGGGGUGAAAUCGGCCCGGCUUAACUGGGCGGGGGCCUUCCAGACGGCGUGGCUUGAGCAGCGGAGGGGGACGUGGAAUUCCGGGUGGAGCGGUGAAAUGCGUAGAUAUCGGGAGGAACACCUGUGGCGAAAGCGGCGCACUGGACCAUAACUGACGCUGGAGGCGACGGAAAGCUAGGGGGAGCAAACAGG
rnacentral:rRNA from 1 species